GAUGAACGCUGGCUACAGGCUUAACACAUGCAAGUCGAGGGGAAACGACGGGGAAGCUUGCUUCCCCGGGCGGCGACCGGCGCACGGGUGAGUAACGCGUAUCCAACCUGCCUCUGACUGAGGGAUAACCCGUCGAAAGUCGGCCUAAUACCUCAUGGCAUCAUCUGCGGGCAUCCAACGACGAUUAAAGCUUUCAUCGGUCAGGGAUGGGGCUGCGUCUGAUUAUCUUGUUGGCGAGGUAACGGCCCACCAAGGCUACGAUCAGUAGGGGUUCUGAGAGGAAGGUCCCCCACAUUGGAACUGCGACACGGUCCACACUCCUACGGGAGGCAGCAGUGAGGAAUAUUGGUCAAUGGGCGGGAGCCUGAACCAGCCAAGUAGCGUGCAGGAGGACGGCCCUCUGGGUUGUAAACUGCUUUUAUGCGGGGAUAAAGUGAGGGACGUGUCCUUCAUUGCAGGUACCGAAUGAAUAAGGACCGGCUAAUUCCGUG
rnacentral:rRNA from 1 species